rnacentral:rRNA from 1 species
CACGUAGGGUGCGAGCGUUGUCCGGAAUCAUUGGGCGUAAAGAGCGUGUAGGCGGCUGGGUAGGUCCGCUGUGAAAACUCGAGGCUUAACCUCGAGACGUCGGUGGAAACCAUCCAGCUAGAGUCCGGAAGAGGAGAGUGGAAUUCCUGGUGUAGCGGUGAAAUGCGCAGAUAUCAGGAAGAACACCCGUGGCGAAAGCGGCUCUCUGGGACGGUACUGACGCUGAGACGCGAAAGCGUGGGGAGCGAACAGG